ensembl:lncRNA
UAUCUUAUUAUCACCACUGGACUCUUUCCGAAAUGGAGGGAAAAGCUUUUAUUAUAAUGUGCAUUUUUAUUGGUAAGUGAAACAAAUGUUAAAACAAAUUAUACAAGAACAACAAUAAUAAUACCCCAAUUCACUUAGACAUAAUAUAUAUAUGUUCAAAAUAUGUACUUUAACAGCACACCAACUUUUUGUCUUCUCUAGCAACAGUCCACGCGCAAAGUUCAACAACUCAGUCCACAGUAGAUUCAACAACCGACACCUCUGCAACACCCACAGCUACAAUGACGUCUUCAACAACCACUACAACUCUUGCUGAAUCAUCCACUACUACUGCAGGAGUUACCACGACAGCACCACAAACUACUUUUACAACAGCUGAAUCCUCCACAACAGCUACAACAACAGCAGAUCCUUCAACAACCACUACAACUAUUGCUGAAACAUCCACUACUACUGCAGGAGUUACCACAACAGCACGACAAACUACUGUUACAACAGCUGAAUCCUCCACAACAGCUACAACAACAGCAGUUCCUUCAACAACCACUACAACUCUUGCUGAAUCAACCACUACUACUGCAGGAGUUACCACGAUACCACCACAAUCUACAGUAACAACAACUGAAUCCUCCACAACAUCAGUUCCCUCAACAAGCACUACAACUCUUACUGAAGCAUCCACUACUACUGCAGGAGUUACCACGACAGCACCACAAACUACUUUUACAACAGCUGAAUCCUCCACAACAGCUACAACAACAGCAGAUCCUUCAACAACCACUACAACUAUUGCUGAAACAUCCACUACUACUGCAGGAGUUACCACAACAGCACGACAAACUACUGUUACAACAGCUGAAUCCUCCACAACAGCUACAACAACAGCAGUUCCUUCAACAACCACUACAUUUCUUGCUGAAUCAUCCACUACUACUGCAGGAGUUACCACGACAGCACCACAAUCUACUGUUACAACAACUGAAUCCUCCACAACAGCAGUUCCCUCAACAACCACUACAACUCUUGUUGAAGUAUCCACUACUACUGCAGGAGUUAUCAUGACAGAACCACAAACUACUGUUACAACAGCAGAAUCCUCCACAACAGCUACAACAACAGCAGUUCCUUCAACAACCACUACAACUCUAACUGAAGCAUCCACUACUACUGCAGGAGUUACCACGACAGCACCACAAUCUACUGUUACAACAACUGAAUCCUCCACAACAGCAGUUCCCUCAACAACCACUACAACUCUUGCUGAAUCAUCCACCACUACUGCAGGAACAACCACAACAGCCCCACAAACUACUGUUACAACAGCAGAAUCCUCCACAACAGCUACGACAACAGCAGUGCCCCCAACAACCAUUACAACUCUUGCAGAAUCAUCCACUACUACUGUAGGAGUUACCACAACAGCACCACAAACUACUGUUGCAACAGCAGAAUCCUCCACAACAGCUACAACAACAGCAGUGCCAUCAACAACCACUACAACUCUUGCUGAAUCACCCACCACUACUGCAGGAACAACCACAACAGCCACACAAUCUACUGUUACAACAGCAGAAUCCUCCACAACCGCUACAACAACAGCAGGUGCAAGAACAACCACCACAACUCUAACUGAAGCAUCCACAACUACUGCAGGAGGUACCACGACAGCACCACAAUCUACUGUUACAACAACUGAAUCCUCCACAACAGCAGUUCCCUCAACAACCACUACAACUCUAGCUGAAUCACCCACCACCACUGCAGGAACAACCACAACAGCCCCACAAACUACUGAUACAACAGCAGAAUCCUCCACAACAUCUACAACAACAACAACAGUGCCCUCAACAACCAUUACAACUCUUGCAGAAACAUACACUACUACUGUAAAAGUUACCAAAACAGCACCACAAACUACUGUUACAACAGUUGAAUCCUCCACAACAGCAACAACAACAGCAGCAGUGCCCUCAACAACCAUUACAGCUCUUGCUGAAUCAUCCACCACUAUUGCAGGAGUUACCACAACAGCACCACAAACUACUGUUACAACAGCAGAAUCCUCCACAACAGCAACAACAGCAGUGCCCCCAACAACCAUUACAACUCAUGCUGAAACAUCCACUACUACUGCAGGAGUUACCACGACAGCACCACAAACUACUGUUACAACACCACAAUCCUCCACAACAGCAACAACAACAGCAGUGCCUUCAACAACCAUUACAGCUCUUGCUGAAUCAUCCACUACUACUGCAGAAGUUUCGACAGCAGCACCACAAACUACUGUUACAACAGUUGAAUCCUCCUCAACAGCAACAACAACAACAGUUCCCUCAACAACAAUUACAACUCUUGAUAAAUCAUCCACUACUACUGCAGGAGUUACCACAGAAGCACUACAAACUACUGUUACAACAGCAGAAUCCUUCACAACAGCAACAACAACAACAGUCCCCUCAACAACAAUUACAACUCUUAAUAAAUCAUCCACUACUACUGCCGGAGUUCCCAAAACAGCACCACACGCUACUGUUACAACAGCUGGAUCCUCCACAACAGCUACAACAACAGCAGAGUCCUCAACAACCACUACAACUUCUGCUGAAUCAUCCACUACUACUGUAGGAGUUACCACAACAGCACAACAAACUACUGUUACAACAGUCGAAUCCUCCUCAACAGCAACAACAACAACUGUUCCCUCAACAACAAUUACAACUCUUGACAAAUCAUCCACUACAACUGCAGAAGUUACCACAGAAGCACUACAAACUACUGCUACAACAGCAGAAUCCUUAACAACCGCAACAACAACAGCAGUGCCUUCAACAACCAUUACAGCUCUUGCUGAAUCAUCCA